ACUUUUAACAACAGAUCUCUUAGUUCUAGCAUUAAUAAAGAACGCAGCAAAAUGCGAUAAGUAGUGUAAAUUAUAGAAUUUAGUAAAUUAUUAAAUCUUUAACCGCACAUUGCGCCCCUUAGUAUUCUAUAGGGCAUGCCUGUUAAAGCGUUAUUUGUACCCUUAAGCUCUGCUUAGUGUUAGGUGUUUGUUUUACUUAGGACUUGCCUUAAAACAAUUAGUAGCUAGUAUAUUAGCCUAGAGCGCAGCAUAUUUUGCGCCUCUUAUUAUAGUUGUUAGCAUCUAUUAAGACACUUUUUAAGCUCUUAACCUUAGAUUAGGUAGGGAUACCUGCUAAACUUAAGCAUAUUAAUAAGCAGAGGAAAAGAAACUAAUAGGGAUUGCCCUAGUAAUAGUGAGUGAAGCGGUAACAGCUUAAAUUUAAAAUCUAGCUCUUUUAGGGUCUAAGUUGUAAUUUGCAGAGGGCGCUUUAGUGUUAGUAGUAGUCUAAGUUCCUUAGAACAGGACAUUAUAGAGGGUAAGAAUCCUAUACGUAGUCGCUGGCCUUCGCCGUGUAAAGCCCCUUUAACAAGUCAAGUUGUUUAGGAAUACAGCUCUAAAUAGGAGGUAAAUUUCUUCUAAAGCUAAAUACUAGCUAGAGACUAAUAGCGCACAAGUAGAGUAAUCAAAAGAUAAAAAGCACUUUAGAAAGAGAGUUAAAUAGCACGUGAAAUUGUUAAAAGGGAAGCGCUUGUAGCUAGACUUGCCUAUAGUUACUUAUCUAGGCUUUUGUCUAGUGCACUCUUCUACAGGCAGGCUAGCAUUAGUUUAGGCGGUUAGAUAAAGGUCUCUGUCACGUACCUCCCUUUAGGGAGGCCUUAUAGGGGAGAUAACAUGCAACUAGCCUAGACUAAGGUCCGCGCAUCUGCUAGGAUACUAGCGUAAUGGCUAUAAGUGGCCUAUCUUAAAACAUAGACUAAGGAGUCUAACAUCUAUGCGAGUGUUUAGGUGUUAAGCCUAGACGCGUAAUAAAAGUGAAUAGAGGUAGGACCCCUUUUAGGGUGCACUAUUAACUAAUCCUAAUAUCUUUGGAAGGAUUUAAGUAAGAGUAUAGCUAUUAGGACCUAAAAGAUGGUAAACUAUGCUUAAAUAGGGUAAAGCUAGAGGAAACUCUAGUAGAGGCUUGCAGCAGUUCUAACGUGCAAAUUAAUUAUUAAAUUUAGGUAUAGGGGCGAAAGACUAAUUAAACUAUCUAGUAGCUAGUUCCUACUAAAGUUUCCCUUAGGAUAGCAGUAACGUAUUUAGUUUUAUAAGGUAAAGCAAAUAAUUAGAGGCCUAGGGGUUAAAAUAACCUUUACCUAUUCUUAAACUUUAAAUAUAUAAGAAGUCCUUAUUACUUAAUUAAACGUGGACACUUAAAUGUACUAUUACUAGUAGGCUAUUUUUAGUAAGCAGAACUAGCAAUGCAGGAUAAACUAAACGUAGGGUUAAGGUGCUAGAAUGCACGCUUAUUAGACACUACAAAAGGUGUUAGUUUAUCUAGAUAGCAGGAUAGUAGCUAUAGAAGUUAGAAUCUACUAAGAAGUGUGUAAUAACUUACCUGCUAAAUAAACUAGCCCUAAAAAUAGAUAGCGCUUAAGCGUGUUACCUAUACCCCGCUGCCAGGGCAAGAUUUAAGCCCUAGCAAGUAGGCAGGCGUAGAGGCUUGUGACAAAGCCUUAGGGGUAACCCUAGGUAGAACAGCCUCUAGUGCAGAUCUUAGUAGUAGUAGCAAAUACUUAAAUAAGAACUUUAAGGACUAAAGUAGGGAAAGGUUCUGUGUGAAUAGCAGUUAGACACAGGUUAGUUAAUCCUAAGAGAUAGGGUAAUUCUAUUUUAAUAUUAGUGCUUGCGCCGCGCCCUUAAAAGAGAAGCUAGUUAAUAUUCUAGCACCUAGAUAUAGAUUCUCCGCAGCAACGCAACUAAGAGCGGAGACCUUAGCGGGAGCCCUAAGAAGAGUUCUCUUUUCUUCUUAACAGUCUAUUACCCUAAAAUUAGUUUAUCUAGAGCUAGGGUUUAAUAGCUAGAAGAGUACUGCACUUUUAUAGCAUUUAGUGCGCUCCUAAUAAGCCUUAAAAAUCUACUUAAAGAAAUAGUUUUUACGCUAGGUUAUACUUAUAACUAUAGUAGGUCUCUAAGGUAAAAAGCCUCUAGUUAAUAGAAUAAUAUAGAUAAGGGAAGUUAGCAAAAUAGAUCUGUAACUUUAGGAAAAGGAUUAGCUCUAAGGGUUAGGUACGUUAGGCCUUGGGGAGAAGCCUCUAGCGUAGAAGGGCACUAACCGCAAGGUAGGCGCCUCUUAGCGCUAGGGUGUAGACACCCUUAGCAGGUUUUAGCUAUCUAGCGUACGUUUAAUAACUAACUUAGAACUAGUAUAGAUAAGGGGAAUCUAACUAUCUAAUUAAAAUAUAGCAUUGCAAUAGCUAGAAAGUAGUAUUAAUAUAAUGUGAUUUCUGCCUAGUGCUCUAAAUAUUAAAGCAAAGAGAUUUAACCAAGCGCGGGUAAAUAGCAGAAGUAACUAUAACUCUCUUAAGGUAGCUAAAUGCCUUGUUAUCUAAUUAGUAACGCGCAUAAAUAGAUUAACGAGAUUCCUACUAUCCCUAUCUACUAUCUAGCAAAACCAUAGCUAAGAGAACAGGCUUAGCCAAAUUAGCAGGGAAAGAAGACCCUAUUAAGCUUAACUCUAGUUUAAUAUUAUAAAAAGACAUAGGGGGUGUAGAAUAGGUAGGAGCUUUAGCGCUAGUAAAAUACUACUACCCUUAUCGUUUUUUUACUUAUUUAAUAAAGCGGAGCUAGGCCUUACUGCCUAACUUCUAGCGUUUAAGGUCCUUUGUGGGCUAAUCUAGGUUAAAGAUAUUGUUAGGUAGGGAGUUUAGCUAGGGCAGCAUAUCUAUUAAACUAUAACGCAGGUGUCCUAAGGGGGACUCAUAGAGAAUAGAAAUCUCUAGUAGAGCAAAAGGGCAAAAGUCCCCUUGAUUUUGAUUUUUAGUGUAAAUACAAACCAUGAAAGUGUGGCCUAUUAAUCCUUUAGUCCCUCGAAAUUUAAGGCUAGAGGUGCUAGAAAAGUUACCACAGGGAUAACUAGCUUGUAGCAGCCAAGCGUUUAUAGCGACGUUGCUUUUUAAUCCUUUAAUAUUAGCUCUUCCUAUUAUACUAAAUUAGAAUUUAGUAAGCGUUAGAUUGUUUACCUACUAAUAGGGAACGUGAGCUAGGUUUAGACUGUUGUAAGAUAGGUUAGUUUUACCCUACUAAUAACCUUGCCCUAAUAGUAAUACUGCUUAGUAUAAGAGGAACCGCGGUUUUAGAUAAUUAGUUUUUGCGGCUGUCUAACUAGGCAUUGCCACGAAGCUACUAUCUACUAGAUUAUAGCUAAAUGCCUCUAAGUCAGAAUCUAUGCCAGAACAGGGUGAUUUCUGCCUGCACUAGUUAGAUACAAAUAGGCCUUUGGCCUAGAACCUUACUAGAUUAGCGUUGGCAGCCCUAUUAAAGUUAGGGUUGUUAGCCAGUGUAUUGCAAUUAUACAGUGCGCAGGAUUAAAUCCUUUAUAGACGACUUAGUUGUCUGGCUAGGUCGUGUAAGUAGUUAAGUAGCCUUGUUGUUAUAAGCUACUAAGCGUAAGCCCGUUGCUAGCUUGGUUAAAAUUAGGAUAUUAUACCCUCCUUAUUUGCAAAACUGCUGCCUAAACGGCUGCUGUUAAUAGAAGGAAGAGGGCCAUAGCAAACAAGUUAUAUAGUAAUUGCAAGAUAGAGAGGGCUAGAGCUAGGAGCAAUCCUUGCAAAAUAUACAAAAGAAUAGGUUGUGUGUGUACGUACCUUAGGCAGUUAAUAUAUAGUAUAGGAAGAUUAAGAAAGGAUUUAAGAUAAUCUAUAUAGAUUUUUAGGUGGUGAUCUAUAACUUAAGAGCGUUCUAUAACUUUUUAUUUUUUAGGGGUAGUGUUCUAUAACUCUAGGGCGUUCUAUAACUUUAGGGUGUUCUAUAACUUUAGGGCGUUCUAUAACUUUUUAUUUUUUAGGGGUAGUGUUCUAUAACUUUAGCGCGUUCUAUACCUUUUAUUUAUUCUAUUACUUUAGUCCUUUCUAUAACUUUAGACUAUUCUAUACUAGUAGCUAUUAUAUCCUUUUUAUAAUACUUAUUAUAUCAUACUAUUAUCUAUUAUUCUUUACUGUUAAGUAUAUCCUUAUAUUUUAUAAAACCUUUUCUCUACUAGCUAGUCCUACUAUACUUUCUUUUAUAACCUACUAGUAUUAAAUAAUACCUUUAUAUUCUUCUUUUAUACUAUCUCUAUUUCUUGCCUUAUCUAUUAAGUAGAUAUAGAUAGAGCUAAUAGAUCUAUAGUUAAUAUAGAUACAGUAGUUAUAGUAGAGUACAGAUAUUAGAGUAGAUAUCCUUAUCUAUACAUUUACCUACUACUAAUAAAAUUCCAAGUUACUCUUAUCCAGCGAAUACGGGUUUAUGGUUUGUAUAGGGCUGCGCAUGUCUACACGGUUUUAUAUACAAAAAAGUGUACCUCCGAGCUGUUUUCUACUGCACUAACCCCGUGACGCGAAAAUUAAACUAAAACCUGUUCCUAUAAUAUAUAAGGAGGGCAAAUAGAUUCUUAAAUACUAAAUACCUAACUAACUAACUAAGGUUAAAUCUACUGCGCGCAGUUCUUGGAUUAGGCAGUUAAACUGGCGUUGUUAGGCACUAAGGGGGCAAUUUUUGCUCGUGUCCGCGUCUAUACUCUCUAUAACUCCCUAUUGUUAGCGCUCUGCGCCUAUUUUAGCGGCAGUUAGACUAAAUUUGAAAGUUUUGGUUUUAUAAUAGCUAGCCUUGUUUCCUAGAUUUCUGCCUAGUUUGGAUUCGCUCUAAUUAGUAGGUAAUCAGGGGCUUAGAGAUUGCUCUUCUACUUAACUAGGCAGGCCUAGGCCUAUAUGCUAAAGCAACCCUGCUGUUGCGCCUAGUUUUAUAGUUAGCACCUAAAGUCCUACUGUUAAAGUUUUAGCAGUAGGCAAAAUUUAGGGUCUGUAGAUAGCUAGCACUACCAAACUAUUUAAUAGAUCUUAGGGGAUAGCCCUGCCUAGCAUCUGCUCCUAGUAAGCGUGGUAAAGCGUAGGUUUUCUCCACUUAAGGCAUGUAUGUAGCGAGUUUAAACACGCAGAAACGCCUGUUAGGCUUUGUUACAGACUAUUCCUUAAGAAACUUAGUAGGGGCAAUUAAAUUAGUUGCUAGUUAUAACUAGUGCCUUGUGUGCUAUUAUACUAGUAGCUAGAAUUACUUCUACGAUUUCUUAUCACAUACUUUCCGCCUCCUUUUAGGGGUAGUGCUUAUGCGCUUUAGCGUAUUAGGUAUUAGGAUUGUUACCUAGUUAAUUCUGCUAGUAGUUAUAUACUUAUCUUAAAGAUUAAGCUAUGCAUGUCUAAGUAUAAGCAAUUAUACCGUGAAACUGCGAAUAGCUUAUUAAAUUAGUUAUUGUUUAUUUGAUAGUACCUUACUACUUAGAUAACUAUGGUAAUUCUAGAGCUAAUACAUGCUAAAAACCCUAACUUUAAAAGGGGUGUAUUUAUUAGAUAAAAAACCAACGCCCUUUAGGGCUUCUUAGUAAUUUAUAAUAACUUUACGGAUCGCAUAGCCUUGCGCUAGCAAUAGUUUAUUUAAAUUUCUGCCCUAUUAACUUUU
rnacentral:rRNA from 1 species